GAACUUGACAUGCUUGUUCUCAGGGUAAGACUUGGCCCAGGCCUUCAUCACGAAGGGGUCAUUGACGCUAAUUAGUAGAAUAUCAUCAAUGCCCUUUGACUUGAGGGCUUCAGCAUUCUCAAUAAACCCCGGCACAUGCUUCAAACUGCAAGUGGGAGUGAAGGCGCCGGGUACUCCAAAGAGAACGACCUUCUUGCCGGCGGCAAGAGAGUGUAUAGAGGUUUGUUGGAGCUGAUCGUCUUCAUCGAAGUAAGCCACCGUACCGUCCGGCAACGUAUCUCCAACAGCAAUAGGAGCCAUUUGACUUUGAUUUCG
rnacentral:misc_RNA from 1 species